rnacentral:tRNA from 2 species
GUUUUUAUAGUUUAAUUAAAACUUUUUAUUUUCAUUAAAAAGAUGGUCACCCUUUAAAUACU